CUCCAAAAACUCCCCAAAAAUUCAUGGAUAUAUUUUAGGAUGUUAUUCAAUUUACUAUUAUUUUUCUAAUUACUUUGGUAUUUUAUUUUAAUUUUAUCAUGAAAUGUGUUUUGUUUGAUCUAGUUUGUGGAUAUCGUUUGAUUCUUGAUGUUUCCCUUUGAGUUUUAAUCCGAUUUUUUACACACACUUAGGAACAUGUAUAUAGGACCUUUGACUGUUAAUUUGAUGAUUUGAUCAUUCAUUUUGGUUCAUGUUUGAAUUUAUUUUUG
rnacentral:lncRNA from 1 species